GGAUUUUAUGCGAAUCAAAAUCCAACACUUUGCAGUCGCUGUAGUCGUGAGGAUAUAAAAGGCUAGCGGUCGCUUUUGCAAUCAAAAAAUGGAUUUUGCACGCACUUUGGAGAUUUUGGGAGAGCUGAACGGAUACAUCAUCUAUAAGGUCAACAAUGUGGAAACAGACGGUUACAAAGAUCAUGAAGAGGCGUUCCGGAAAGGAGUGCGUCUGGGAUGUAGUGAAAUUUCGGACGUCCUGAAUAAGUUGAAAGCGGGAACUAUCCAAGCAGCGAUGGACAAGGCAAUCACAAGCAAAUCUGCGGAAAAGGUCACUCUUGCCGGACCUGCUUAUUCCAUACCGAGGAUUUUUGGAUGUAGCUCGCAUUGUACAGGACAGCUUCUGGGGUCCUGAGGGAGUGUCCAUGGAUACGUAGGCUAACAGCAUUUGACUUGUGUUUGACAGAAGGAUCGACUUGGACGCGAUAACCCGUGUUUUCGGGAACGAUGCUACUAAGAUGAAAAACUUUAACGCCGUUAACCUUCGCUUGAAUGGUAACACAUUCUGUCAACUGUUUGCGAACGGCAAGGCCAUCAUAAACGGCGGACCAACAAUGUCUGGGAAAUCAACGUUUACGUUGCAACUCUUGAAAAACGUUUCACAAAGUUUCACUCCCGUCCCUACUCGUAUUGUUUACGCGUACGAAAAGGUGAUACAACGCUGCUAAUUUUGGAUGAUUUAAUGGAGGAAAUAGCAUCUGCUACUAAGGCAUCCGCGUUAUUUACCCGUGAUGUUCAC